UUUGCUUUGUAAAUAAUUCAGUCCAAGUGAAGAAAUUAAAACUGAAGUUGCAGCUUCUGUUCACCUCCAUACCCUGUGCACACCUCUUGUAAGCACACCUCUUUAGCAUGGAGAUGCAGUGGUUGUACAGGUUGCACUGCUGCCAGAGCACCCAAGGAGAUGCAGUGGUUGUACACACAUUGUACGACUUCCAGAGCACCCAAGGAGAUGCAGUGCUAAUCAUGCAUGUGUGCUUGUUUUGGUGCAAAGUCCAGUGGCUCCUGAAGGGGAGCUCAAAGCUAAGCAGAUUUGGGUUUGUUUAGUUUUAGCUGAGCCAAUUAAAGGGAAAGAACAGGUUGCUGAUGUUUCUGGAGCUGGCAGCAUGUGGCACACAGUAGGGUAUUUGUUGGGUGGUAGUGGUGCCGUGUGUCCACACUAGUGCAUUUCUCAGAUCUCAUCUAAUUACAAAGUUCUUCAGGAUCCUUAAUGCAAGCAGUUUCUUUCCCUCGUACUGCUUGCACUUACUUGUCUCCCCCAGAAGAAGGGCAAGUAUUUCUAUCAUGCUGUCAAGUAAAAACGUUGAGUUUGGGUGCUUUGGGUGUGUAAAUGUGAGACUUAGUCAAAGCAAUUAGCUGAGUAACCAUUCAGCUUAAAUUGUUUUCCUACCCAGUUUCCAGGCCGUGACUAACACCCACUAUGAUACACACCCAGCCUUUUCCAGCCCUCACAACUGAUACACCAAGCUUCAGCUGCCUUGGGAUGGACAAUCACACAGCUCAUUUUGGGGCUGUCUGCUCAAUCGUUGCACAUCUACAAGUAAAAAAAAAAAGGCAGCAAAACAAAAAUUAUAUGUGUUUCAAAACAAAAGCACAUAUAAUGGGGCUGACGCUUUGUAGGUACCAGUUUUUCAUUUAAACUUUGUCUGUGUAUGUUCUUGUUCAAGUACUUCUCACUGCUCUUCACACUGACCAGCUUUGCUGUGUGAAUAGGAGCUGCUUGUAACUAAGUCCUAUACAGGGUUUUUAAAAGCAAGACUACGUCUAAAAUUGUUUAAAGUGUUUGAUAAAAUAAUUUGUAAACAAGAUGUUAAAAAACAUAGAACAGGGAGGUCAGAUGAGACUUGAAAACACAUUGCUAUAAGACAGAUUAACAAAGUCAUUCUUGGUUAGAAAUUGAGUCUCACCCCAGGCCAGCAAAAGAAAUGCCACAGUUUUCUGAUCCUGUGGCCUCAGAAACAUCCCAACAUCUAGUAUCACCUUAUUUGUCCUCACGCCUGCUGCACCACUCCUCAGUCUUCCCAGUUCCAGCUCUUUGCACGGCUAUGCUGUGAACCAGAUCAAGGAACUUGAUCCACUGAAAAAUAAUAGAAAACAGCAGCAUAUAAAAAUAAUUUCAUGAUCUAGUUCAUGGCAUGUGCCUCACAUCUGGGAGGAGCAGUGGCUGAAUUCCUGCCAUCUGCACUACCCUGGAAAUCAGCCUGGCAUAAAACUCUGGUCCAGCCUGACCAAGGACAUGGAAAAGGUGACUUUGGCAGGGAACCUGAAGGAUAAGGAAAUAGAGAGAAGGGCUUCUUCCAGUGGCUACAGGGAAUCCUGGGAAAGGAGGUGAUUUUCAGCUGGAUCAUGAGCAGCAAAGCCAGAGGAUAUCUGUUGGAGUGCGGGCAAGUCCAGCUUGUUUGGACACAAGGAAUGUAAGCAGCAGCAGGAGCCUUCGUGGGGAAGGACGUCAUUGCAGCAACACGAAAGCAUCAACUGCUAACACUGUAUUUAUCCAAACCGUAAAGAACAAUUUUAAAUAAGAAGAGGUUUCAAAGCUGUGUUUAGCUGGAAGAUCUGUGUGGGAGAGGGGUGGAUACCUUUGGACUUUGUUAAUAAUUAAGUGGAGGAGUGUGUUAAAACCUAUGGAAUGGACAGCAUGGUAGUAAAAAUACUGUGACUCAUUGAAGCUGGCGGUUAGCAAACAGUCCCAAGUAAACAAAAUUACACAUGACAGAUCCUUGUGUAGCAAGACCCAUCUCUGUCUAGUGAAACCGAGCCUGAAAUGCCCCAUUUGCUUCUGAAAACCUCAUGACCUUGUGGAAACAAUUUGAUGCUGAACCUGCAAGAAAUAGAAAUUGUGUUCAGAACUAAAUGAAAAUCCAGCAUGUUUUCUAAGCUAUGCAUUUGCAACAUUCAGCAUAUUUUCCAAACAGUUUUUUCUCCUAAUAAUCCCUGAGCUAAUGUCUUUCCAGUUAAAAAAACCCAAAAAUAUGAAGAAACUGUCUUGUCUUGUAUGAUUUCAUUCACUCCAAAUGCAUCAAGAGCCAGAAGAAAAAUCUGGAUAUAUGGUUUAAAAGAGGACAGAACAAGAACUUCUCUAAGGAGCAGCCUACAGGCACGGAAAGCCUCAGAUGCCCCGCACAGAGCGAGGUCCCCGCGGCGCUGCAAGGGGAAGGAAGGCACUGUUAUGCUAUCACAGGGCUAGACUGGAAACUGAGUCAGGAAGAAAUCCACAAAGCCAGGUGUCACAGGUAUCACAGGUGUCACAGGUGUCACACAACUGCACUUCAUGGUGUUCUGGUAGCAGAGGAGUCUUUGGGGUAAUAUUAAUAUAGCACUGCUGAAAAUGGAAAACCACACUCCCUCCUCCUACCCCUUCUUUCAGGCACAGGCUCCACCAUUUACUUUCUUUGGGCUUUAGCAUUCUUGGCAUUUUUCAACCCCCAAAAGAUUGGCUAGUUGUCUGAAGGUUAGGGACUUGCAUUGCCUCAGCUGGGAGCCACAGAACAGAGCAGGCACAAUGGUGAGGAGAAGACACCAGGAGAGGGCAGAAGGAAGAGACCUUCCCCCUUGCAUCUGUAAGGUGUUCUAUCAGUUCACUUGUUUGUUAAACUGCACCUUGGAAGAAGGUGGUAAAGGCCAUAUCCACUUUCUUUGGAUAUUAAAAAGCAGAUCAAAGAGUGGUUGAAAUCCAUGGUGGGUUGUUUGGUUUCCCAUUGCACCAGUAUUAGUUUUAUUUCUCUUUUCCUUCCCCUAUCUUCAAACCCCUUGAUGGAAUCAAUGUCCCUUUUUGCAAGAAUACGCUGUCCUUACCUGCUCUCUUUGUAUCCGUCCUUCAAGCCCUAUUUCUUUUGCAAACUUUGUUUUACCAAUUGGCCAAUGCUUCAUUGGCUACUUUUAACAUAAUUAUACUAAAUUCUUGCUCCUAUUUAUCUGACUAUUCAGUUUUUUGGGGUUAAAUCUUACCAUUUUCCUCAAUUUUAUAAAGCGUUGUUUGCCUAUACAUAGCUAAAGAUCCUAAGAAAUUUUAGCAACUUUCAUUUGCUCUUAGAGAAAAGAAUCAAGUCAGUCAUUACCCCACUAUCAAUCCCAUGAACUAUAUGCAGAAAAAUAUUAUUUAUUACAUAAAUAAAGGUGAACUAGAAAUUAAAAAAAUCAGGGUGGAAUACUGGUAUCAAAAUGUACUUAAUCCAGACUCAGUGAAUCUCUUGUUAAAAAUAAAACACAAUGCUGAUUUUUUUCUCCCUAAACUCUGUAAAUCCUUGGAGAUCUCAAGUGGAACAACCAACCAUUUUUUUGUUGUUUUUUUCUGUCUCUAGCUCUUAUGUUAGUUUUUCACUCCAGAAAUAAAAAUUUUACAGCUGGUAUACAUAUUACACUAAUGAUGCUUUGAUUUAGAAAUACAACUAACAGAUGUUAAAUUAAUCUAGUCAGAUUUGAAUUACCUUUGAGACCUGGCUACAGCAUUUGCUUCUGGAAGGUAUGCACAUUUUAUUUGUACCCCUGGUUCAUGAAAGUCAGGCUGUCUUUGGAUAAAUGAUGAUUUCAUGUUUUUCUCAGAUAUCCACUCAUGUCUAUAAAUUUGAAAGAUGUGUAUUGUGCUAUCGGAAAAUGUACUUUGAAGUCAGUUUUAGAUUUGGUUGCUAAUCUGGUGGCCCUGCUUUUCUCUUCUGUAAACAGAGAUAAAUAGUUUCCAGUGGGCCUGAAUCCAGCAAAGCUCUUCACUAAAUAGCCUCUAGGUAGAGUUACUUUGGAGUGAAGGAACAAACCCUACAUUAAAAGAAAAUGUUGAUAAUACAAAUGUAUGAGAAUACCUAAUGCUUCCUGCAAUAUGUGCAGUUUUCUGAAUUUGGAUAGCUGAUCUGGACACUGCUCCAGCCAGAACAGCAGGUUGUACUCAGUGCAGUCUGUACCUGAUACAAGGUUUCUGAUAAGCUCCUGGAUAUCAAGAAGAUUAUUGAACAAAUAUGUUUGAUACAGUAGGCUACUAUUUUAUAUUGUUUUUCCAUUCCUCAUCACAAGUCAUGAUAGGACUAGUAGAAAUUAGGUUAUUCAACUCUAAGGCUUUGCUGCUCCAAGAGAAUAAAAUUGUACUUUUAAAAGUAUUCAUGAGCUUCAGGAAAAAAACCCAACACCUUUAUUCCCUGAAUUAAUCACUUGGAGCAAUGCACUAAGUAUACUGAGCUGUUCUUUUUGUGGAACACGAGGAUCAAGCCUUUGUUCUUGGCAGCCACAUCCUUCAUGCCGUGCAUGCUGGAACCCACCGCUGUUAUUUCUCGCUGCUCACGGAGAGCAAAGCGGUCUGCAGCAAAAAAAGGGGCAGCUCCUCCCAGAAGGGCCUGUGCUACAGCAGCAGCAGCAAACUCCCAGGGAGAGCCUGAGGAUACAUGGGUCACAAUAAAGGUCACAAUGAAAGCCUGGUGUGGCAUCUCCAUUCUGCAAAUGCUGCACUGGACUUGGCACCUUCAUCAGUUCUUAUGGGUGGUGCUCAGACUGAGGCUCAGCAGUGGGAAGCUGGUAUUAAAAAAAGGAAAAUAAUGGACUGCUGAGAUGUGCCAGAUGCAGAGACAUUGAGGAGGAGAGAAACAGAGGCCUAAUCUAACAAACAGAAAAAUUACAUUCUUGCUUUCCUUUUGUAUCACCACAAAAAAUAGAAGUGGUUAACACAGCAAGAUUGCAGCUGUGGCAUUAGUUCUUGGUACUUGGAGGUCAGUUCUGCACACCACACAAACCCGUCUCGUUAUCCCUUUGCCAGGGGCAGAUGGAUGCAUUGAUUCCUUGUAUAUAUUCACCUUUGACUGAUCUGCCUCCAAACACCUGGGCCACAACUUACAGAUGAAGGCAGCAGCAGAGAACACCUUGCUGCAUGCUAACUCUUCAGCAUUAAAUGGAUUUAAAAAGCACUGUUUUUCAGAAAAGAAAGGACUCAUAACCACCAGCAGUGGCUUAGCUUUACAAAGUGCAGUCACCCAGUGUUAACAAAGUUAUUCUUCCUAUUUGUCAGCAGGCACAGAAACCUUGCAGGGCUCCACCCAGAUCUGUGCAGGCCUUGUAGAGUCAUCAGAUUUGGUAAGAAUUCAGCUGUGCAGAAAAAAGAUGUAACCAUAAGUGCAGAUCUUUUGCCCUCAAAUUAGUGGAAGCUGGAUACAACAGGUGAUCUUUUAGAUUGACCUUUUAACAUUCAUGAUACAUACACGACUUCUCUGCAAAAUGAGGAUGAAUGCCUACUUAUUGAAUUUAUUUUCACAUUUGCUUGCUAGAACCAGUCCUCUCUCACUUAAAAACAUUUCUCUUUGCAUUUGUCUUAUGGCAUUAAAGAACACAGAUAAGUGAUUCCCAUAAACUAUUAUUUUUAAAUCCUUGUAAAAGUUUUUCUCUACAAAUAGCAAAGAAUACCCCCAGGAAAUUAUUUAAGCCUAAAAAUUAAAUAUUUGUUGUUCCCUCAGGUUGAAAAGAAAAGUUGUAGUCCCUCUUCUAAGCAGACAAAACACAAGGCCCAACAGGAUCUGAGCAACAUAGUCACCAAAGCCACUAAAUAAACCUAAAUCAAGUUUUAGCAAACCAUAGAGUAGCAGUUUAAAAUACUCUGGGAGUAGUUUCCUAUUACCAGCAGCUGGUUUAAAAUAGUAACACGACCAUUGUGCCAUCCUCCAAAAUAAAGUUUUUAUCAUAACAAAAACAUUUGCCUGGAGUAAAUGGACAUUGAUUAACUGUGGACUUCUAUACCAGUGAUUGCACUGUGUAAAAACAAGGUGGAGAGAAUAGAAAACACCUGAGACAAAACUAUUUGUACCUGUUUCCAUAUUGCUGCUUAGAACAGUAGCCACUCACCCUUUGAACAAAGAUAAAAUGAUUUACUUCUACUAUCAAAAAACCCCGAAGCCCACCCUCCCAAACUGAAAUAAACAUAUUUCUUCCUUAUUCCUAAUGUGUAUGACUGGUACUUCAAGCUUUUUACUCUUAGAUUAUUUUGUUUUUCCAGUUGUUGAUAUAGUUAAAUCUCUCAAAAAAUUUGGAAUUUACAUGCUUUGAGUUUUUCAGUGAUGAAAUUUAACACCACCUCUCACCCUGUCGUGGUUGUAAGUCUAUUGCACUGAAGGUCCCCUGCAACUUGGCAUGGAGGUACAGAUUAAAUAACAAAUUCAAAUUAGUUAUUUCAAACGCACCUGGAAAAUAUUUUGAAAACAUAAUGAAGCCAAUGACUAAAAGACUGUGCUCUGGGACAUAUUUAAUGAUUAUUGUUACCAUCACAGAGAUCUCUGUAAGAAAAUUUGCUGCCCUCAAAGAGGCAGUGAAGGAAGGAACAGGCUUUGAAGAUCAUCUCAGUGUGGGACACUCUCCAGGUUUUUCUGUGAAGAUGUCUCCAGUGAAAAGCUUACAAAACCAGAAGUUUAAAGUGCUGGAAUGGCAGUGAUGCUUGAGGCUGAUCAGGGCAGCAUCUACAUAGCCUAGAGCUCUUUCUUUCCUACUGAAUGGUGUCUGACAAAAGGCUGAGCCCAAGCGUUUUUACUUAAGAAAGGAAGAAUAGCAGACGAUUUUUUUAUCUCUUCUACAGAAAGUAAAAUACCUGAUCUUGCUCGGAUCUGGAACAGGGGCGUGUCAUGGGAACACCUUUGUGAAAGAGAAGAUUAGGGGGAAGCUUCAUUCCUUGUGCUGAGCUGGAUUUGGGCCUUUCAGAAGCACCAUGAAUGAGCUGGAGUUUCUGGACCUGUGUUUUCAGGAGACUGUAACUGCUGCUUGCUAAAUGUCCUUGCACAUGUCUUUGGCCUUUGGCUCCAUCCCCAUAAACUCAUUUAAUGCGUCUCCCUGUGGAGAUGUGGAGUUGGGAGGCAAUAGCUUAAGUGGCUUCUCUGAUGUCACCACCCUGUACUGACUUAGUUAAUUUAAAUAACACCUCAUUUUAAGCAAUUAAGUUCUUGUUUUUUCUUAGGCUCUUGUUUCUUAAGCUCUUGCUCAGAAAGUCAUCAUGAUCCUCCAUAAUAUACAUAAGUCUUGAUGAAAUGGGCUUACAUUUGGACCUGGAAUGAUUGCUUUACUUAUCUUAGUUUGUAUGACUAUUCACUGCAUUCACUGGGAAAGACCCAACCCAGUAAAAUUUUACAUUUGCAUUUUUACACAAGGCAGCAAUAUUGACUGUGUGGUUACUAAAGAGCUUGAGAGCAAGUUGGAAAAAUUAAUAGAACUAUUUCCUAGCCAUACACACAUUGCAUGUGUGCCAGGAAACAAGCAAAACCUGAUUUCCCAAGUAUUUUGUGUGAUGGGAACUUCAGCUGGCCACGUCCUUUCCCCCAGCUCCUUUAGCCCCGUGUCCUUUAUUUUCAGCUCUAGACUGAACACCCUCCAGCAUCCUUCUUUUUGGGGCAAAGUAGCUGAUUUGCCCCCAUGCACAUGCUGCCUGUCCAGCUGGCACUCAUAAUUGGUCAGGCAAACACUAAUUGAGUGAGGAGAAUAAUCGUUACCGGUAAAAAUUACAGUAAAACCUGCCCUCUACCAUUCAAAACCUACAUGCACUGUACUGACAGCUUCUCUAUUAAUUUUGGUGCAUUUUGAAUCAAUGUUUUCUUUGCCUGUUGGGAAAUCCCAUCUUUGUACAGCAGAUUUCUCACACGAAAUCAUAACUAGAUUUUAAAUGUUCUGAUUUGUGAAGAGCACAUAAACCUGGUGUAAAUUCGCAGUUCAUCCUUGCUCUGA